GUCGAAAGUAAGAAAUGAAGUGAACAAAUCCAUAUAUAUUUGUUGAAAAUUUCUUGCAGUGGGUAUCUUCCAUUUGUUUUUCAUGCUUCACACUGUGGGAGGCUUGGUAGUUGAUACAGAAAUUAAAGUAGUUAUUUGAUUGAAACUGGUAGCUAUUUCAAUUCUACUGUCAGUAUCUCCUUUUAUAUAUAAUUGGAUUAAUUGCCAAUAUAUUCACAUAGUAUAAUAGUU